UUAAAUUAGAUUUUGUGUUUUCGAUUUUGAGUUUUCGAUUUUAAGAUAUAGGGUCUAGAGUAUUGGGUUUUCAACUUGGAUUUUAGAUUCUGAGUUACGGUUUCGAUUUUGGGUUUUCGAUUUUAAGGUGUAGGGUUUAUAGUAUUGGGAUUUCAACUUAGAUUUUAGAUUUUGAUUUUGAUUUUAGGUUUUCGAUUUUAGAUUUUCGAUUUUAAGGUUUGGGGUCUAGAGUAUUGGGUUAUCAACUUGGAUUUUAGAUUUUGAGUCUCGAUUUCGAUUUGGUUUGUCGAUUUUAAGGUUUAGAGUUUAGAGUAUUGAUUUUUAACCUGAAUUUUAAAUUUUGAGUUUCGGUUUUAAUUUUGGGUUUAGGAUCUAAAGUGAAGUAUUUAAAUUUCAAUAUUUAACCAAUAAUUGACAAAUAGUGGGCCAGGGAUAAGAUGUUAAAACAAGGGAUAAAAACAGUAAUCUGAUCGAUGAAACAUAUUCAACAUAGUUGCUGAAUUGCAAAUUCUAUACCUGACGCCGUCACCAUCCGUCUGAACCCAUAAUAGGCCAGAGUUGCAACAAAUUUUGGAAACUGGAAGCAACAAAAUAUCAUCAUGAAUUGAUCCCUACCCAGGGCGGCUAGGGAUCACUCGGAUUCAUCGCAUUUGGGAGAAACUGUCAAAAAGUUGAAUAGUAGCUGUUGGUUCAUAAAGAACGACAAAGAAGACGUGAAAUUUGGGGCAAUCUUUUGUCAACCUUAUGCUUUCCCAUAGCCGCCCGCCCACCACCACCAAUCCAUGGCCAUCCUACUUUUCAACCCAUCACUUUCCCGUUGACUGAAACAAACUCAAGAUAAUAUAAUGCUUAUUUUUUCCCACAAUUCAUCACGUUUUUGUCUUUCCACGCGAUUCCACUGUUGAACUACCUUUACUUACUCAACAUGCAUAUUAUUUACAGUGUAGAAAUAGUGUACAGUUUUAUGACAUGGCAUAAGAU
rnacentral:lncRNA from 1 species